CGGAUGCGGAUCUCAAGGCCUGUCCCAGUUCGGACUGGAGUCUGCAACCCGACUCCACGAAGUUGGAUUCGCUAGUAAUCGCGCAUCAGCCAUGGCGCGGUGAAUACGUUCCCGGGCCUUGUACACACCGCCCGUCAAGCCAUGGGAGCCGGGGGCGCCUGAAGUCCGGGACCGCGAGGACCGGCCUAGGGCGAAACUGGUAACUGGGGCUAAGUCGUAACAAGGUAGC
rnacentral:rRNA from 1 species